UUAAAGUUUUAUUUUGGCUUAAAAGUUUGUUAUUAAUUUGAUUUAUAUGUAAAUUUUUGUGUGAAUAUUUAAUAAUUUAAAAAAUUAUUAAAUUUAUUAUAAUCGCAGUAAUUAAUUUUAUUAGUUAAAGAAAUUUAGAAAUAGCAAUAUUAAAGAGUAUAGAUUAAAUUGGUGCCAGCAAUCGCGGUUACACCAAUUAUACAAAUGAAUUUUUUUAGUAAAAGUUAAAUUGGUUUAAUUUAAAUAUAAUUAAAUUUAUUAAGUGAAAUUUUAAAUUUAAAAUUUUUAUUAAGUGAAUAAUUGAAACUUGAAAAUUUUAAAUAAAAACUAGGAUUAGAUACCCUAUUAUUUAAAAUGUAAAUAUAAAUACUUAAGUAGUAAUAGUUAAGUU
rnacentral:rRNA from 1 species